GGUUCCCGCUGACGUGCUCAGAUCUCAGCAGACGGAUUUCCUGCGGGUCCGGCUGCCUCUAUUCGAGGGGCGCCAGGAGUCCCUUCUGUUCUCCUCGGGCUCGGAAGUAGAAAGGAUGGUGUCCGUGUGGAGGCGCUGUGUUUCAGGGGUGUGAGACACGGAUACAUCUGUGUGAGGAUCACAAAGCCGACAGAUUGGUGCCCGCUGUGGCGAGGUCGACCAGAUGGCCCGACAGGUUGUUGGGGAUCUUGGUUAACAUUUAUACUGUAAUUUUAUCCACAGAGUAUCAAAUUGAAGACGACCAGAGAAGGUGUUGAAAUGAAGAACUUUCUUAACACACUGAGAAGUUGGGGAACCUCUCCUUCCAGCCACGAGGCCCUGCCCUGCAGCAACCGACCUGGAAAACCAGACCCCAGCCCCUGCAGCAAUGGGCUCCAGGAUUCAGUGCGUGGCCCAGAACUGAUGACUACACAACUCAGUUUAAACUCUGUGAAAGAAAGUAAAGUUGCUCGGUCAUGCCUGACUCUGCAACCCCAUGGACUGUAGCCUACCAGGCUCCUUUGUCCAUGGGAUUUUCCAGGCAAGAGUACUGGAGUGGGUUGCUGUUUCCUUCUCCAGGGGAUCUUCCCAAGCCAGGGAUCCAGCCCGGGUCUCCAACAUUGUAGGCAGAUGCUUUACCAUCUGAGCCACUUAAACUCUGUACUAGGGAUCAUAUAACAACAAUGUAUCCUGCUUGAGGACAGUUUCUCCUUCCUGAAAACCUUCUGAUUAAUCCUGAUAUCUUAGAAUGUAUAUUAUGGGAAUGGGUCUGGUAGGAUCUUUCUGUUAAAUUCUAAUCCUGUUAUCCUAAAAUGUUAAUUGUGGGAGUGGGUCUGGUAAAACUUUCACAAACUUGAGACAUUCUUUUGGUUUAAUGUAGUAACUAAUUUAAAAAGUAUAUACAUCCCUUGCUAACACCAUCAAGGGGGGGCACUCCCCACCCCCUUCUGCUGUCCAUGACAGAAGCUUUCUCUGACCUUUUCCCACUGUCAUAAAACUCUGCUACACAAACGCUCUUGAGUGAUCAAUCCUGGUCCCUGGUCCUGAAGCUAAAUCUUCUUUGGAGAUCCUGAAUCCGACAUCGUUCACAGUAAGCUCGAUUGAAUCUAUAACAAUCUCUUAAAAGCCAAAUAUAAUCUUAAAAUAAGCUAUGCUGCUGCUAAGUCCCUUCAGUCGUGUCCAACUCUGUGCGACCCCAUAGACGGCAGCCCACCAGGCUCCCCCAUCCCUGGGACUCUCCAGGAGAGAACACUGGGGUGGGUUGCCAUUUGAAAAAUCAAAGUGAAGUCGCUCAGUCGUGUCCGACUCUUAGCGACCCCAUGGACCUCAACCUACCAGGCUCCUCCAUCCAUGGGAUUUUCCAGGCAAGAGUACUGGAGUGGGGUGCCAUUGCCUUCUCCAAAAUAAGCUAUAAGCCCUAUUAAAAUAAAAUUCAACUGAGUAAAAUUUUAAAAUCUUAG
rnacentral:lncRNA from 1 species